rnacentral:rRNA from 1 species
CCCUUAGAUGUUCUGGGCCGCACGCGCGCUACACUGACGAAUGCAACGAGCUUAUAACCUUGGCCGAAAGGUCUGGGUAAUCUCCAAAUUUCGUCGUGAUGGGGAUAGAUUAUUGCAAUUAUUAAUCUUCAACGAGGAAUGCCUAGUAAGCGCAAGUCAUCAGCUUGCGUUGAUUACGUCCCUGCCCUUUGUACACACCGCCCGUCGCUCCUACCGAUUGAAUGGUCCGGUGAAGCGUUCGGACCGUGGCCUUUGGACGGUUCGCCGUCUGUUGGCUGCGGGAAGUUCGUUAAACAUUAUCAUUUAGAGGAAGGAGAAGUCGUAACA